rnacentral:tRNA from 1 species
GGAUCUGUAGCACAGCGGUUAGUGCAUCGCCCUGUUAAGGCGAGGGUCAUAGGUUCGAAUCCUAUCAGGUCCGCCA